rnacentral:rRNA from 1 species
UACGUAGGGUGCAAGCGUUGUCCGGAAUUAUUGGGCGUAAAGGGCUCGUAGGCGGUCCAUCGCGUCGGGAGUGAAAAGCUGGGGCUUAACCCCAGUCCUGCUUUCGAUACGGGUGGACUAGAGGUAGGCAGGGGAGAAUGGAAUUCCUGGUGUAGCGGUGAAAUUCGUAGAUAUCGGGAGGAACACCAGUGGCGAAGGCGGCGAUCUGGGAAGAUACUGACGCUGAGGUGCGAAAGCGUGGGGAGCAAACAGG